UAGUCCACGCCGUAAACGAUGGUUACUAGCUGUUCGGACUUCGGUCUGAGUGGCUAAGCGAAAGUGAUAAGUAACCCACCUGGGGAGUACGUUCGCAAGAAUGAAACUCAAAGGAAUUGACGGGGGCCCGCACAAGCGGUGGAGCAUGUGGAUUAAUUCGAUGAUACGCGAGGAACCUUACCAGGGCUUAAAUGUAGAUUGACAGGUUUAGAGAUAGACUUUUCUUCGGACAAUUUACAAGGUGCUGCAUGGUUGUCGUCAGCUCGUGCCGUGAGGUGUCAGGUUAAGUCCUAUAACGAGCGCAACCCCUGCCGUUAGUUGCCAUCAAGUAAAGUUGGGGACUCUAACGGGACUGCCGGUGCAAACCGCGAGGAAGGGUGGGGACGACGUCAAAUCAUCACGGCCCUUACGUCCUGGGGCUACACACGUGCUACAAUGGCCGGUACAGAGAGUUGCCACAUCGC
rnacentral:rRNA from 1 species